rnacentral:rRNA from 1 species
AUUGAACGCUGGCGGCAGGCCUAACACAUGCAAGUCGAGCGGUAGCACAGAGAGCUUGCUCUCGGGUGACGAGCGGCGGACGGGUGAGUAAUGUCUGGGAAACUGCCUGAUGGAGGGGGAUAACUACUGGAAACGGUAGCUAAUACCGCAUAACGUCGCAAGACCAAAGUGGGGGACCUUCGGGCCUCAUGCCAUCAGAUGUGCCCAGAUGGGAUUAGCUAGUAGGUGGGGUAACGGCUCACCUAGGCGACGAUCCCUAGCUGGUCUGAGAGGAUGACCAGCCACACUGGAACUGAGACACGGUCCAGACUCCUACGGGAGGCAGCAGUGGGGAAUAUUGCACAAUGGGCGCAAGCCUGAUGCAGCCAUGCCGCGUGUGUGAAGAAGGCCUUCGGGUUGUAAAGCACUUUCAGCGGGGAGGAAGGCGUUAAGGUUAAUAACCUUGGCGAUUGACGUUACCCGCAGAAGAAGCACCGGCUAACUCCGUGCCAGCAGCCGCGGUAAUACGGAGGGUGCAAGCGUUAAUCGGAAUUACUGGGCGUAAAGCGCACGCAGGCGGUCUGUCAGUCGGAUGUGAAAUCCCCGGGCUCAACCUGGGAACUGCAUUCGAAACUGGCAGGCUAGAGUCUUGUAGAGGGGGGUAGAAUUCCAGGUGUAGCGGUGAAAUGCGUAGAGAUCUGGAGGAAUACCGGUGGCGAAGGCGGCCCCCUGGACAAAGACUGACGCUCAGGUGCGAAAGCGUGGGGAGCAAACAGGAUUAGAUACCCUGGUAGUCCACGCCGUAAACGAUGUCGAUUUGGAGGUUGUGCCCUUGAGGCGUGGCUUCCGGAGCUAACGCGUUAAAUCGACCGCCUGGGGAGUACGGCCGCAAGGUUAAAACUCAAAUGAAUUGACGGGGGCCCGCACAAGCGGUGGAGCAUGUGGUUUAAUUCGAUGCAACGCGAAGAACCUUACCUGGUCUUGACAUCCACAGAACUUUCCAGAGAUGGAUUGGUGCCUUCGGGAACUGUGAGACAGGUGCUGCAUGGCUGUCGUCAGCUCGUGUUGUGAAAUGUUGGGUUAAGUCCCGCAACGAGCGCAACCCUUAUCCUUUGUUGCCAGCGGUUAGGCCGGGAACUCAAAGGAGACUGCCAGUGAUAAACUGGAGGAAGGUGGGGAUGACGUCAAGUCAUCAUGGCCCUUACGACCAGGGCUACACACGUGCUACAAUGGCAUAUACAAAGAGAAGCGACCUCGCGAGAGCAAGCGGACCUCAUAAAGUAUGUCGUAGUCCGGAUUGGAGUCUGCAACUCGACUCCAUGAAGUCGGAAUCGCUAGUAAUCGUAGAUCAGAAUGCUACGGUGAAUACGUUCCCGGGCCU